rnacentral:rRNA from 1 species
UACGAAGGGGGCUAGCGUUGUUCGGAUUUACUGGGCGUAAAGCGCACGUAGGCGGACUAUUAAGUCAGGGGUGAAAGCCCCGGGCUCAACCUGGGAAUUGCAUUCGAUACUGGAUAGCUAGAGUUCGGCAGAGGGAAGCGGAAUUUCCGGUGUAGCGGUGAAAUGCGUAGAUAUCAGGAGGAACACCGGUGGCGAAGGCGGCUUCCUGGACCGGCAUUGACGCUGAGGAGCGAAAGCCAGGGGAGCAAACGGG